rnacentral:misc_RNA from 1 species
GACUGGCUCAAUCCAGAUCUCUUCGAGUAGUGUUGCCCUUGGAUGUGUAAAUGGUGGUUGUUUCUUGCGGGCAUCUAGCUUACCUUGAUGUAUGAUGCAGCAACUUGAUGGAGCAGACAUGAUUGAUAAGCAAUAGGCUUUGUCGUUUAUUGUUUAGGGCAAAAUUUUGUAGUAAUGUAUUACCAAAUAUCCAUUUGUUAAAUGUUGAAGUUUCUCAGACAAGCAACUUUGAGGAAACACAUUUAUUGAAAUAAUGGCUUUAAAAUGGACGAGAG